UGCGGAAUUUUAGAUAAUGGAGGGAACUCUGAUCUAGCGACGCCGCGUGCAGAAAGAAGGUCUUCGGAUUGUAAACUGCUGUGGUAAGGGGAAAAUGCUAUGUAGAGUGGAAAGCUACAUAGAGGGAUGGUACCUUACUAGAAAGCCCCGGCUAACUACGUGCCAGCAGCCGCGGUAAUACGUAGGGGGCGAGCGUUACCCGGAAUCACUGGGCGUAAAGGGAGCGUAGGUGGCCUAACAUGUCAACUGUGAAAACCCGGAGCUCAACUCCGGACUUGCAGUUGAAACUGGUAGGCUUGAGGACGGUAGAGGAAGACGGAACUGCCAGUGUAGGGGUAAAAUCCUUAGAUAUUGGCAGGAGCGCCGGUGACGAAGGUGGCUUUCUGGGCCGGUUCUGACACUGAUGCUCGAAAGCCAGGGGAGCGAACGG
rnacentral:rRNA from 1 species